UACGAACGCUGGCGGCGUGCUUAACACAUGCAAGUCGAACGGAAGGGCCCUGCUUUUGUGGGGUGCUCGAGUGGCGAACGGGUGAGUAACACGUGAGUAACCUGCCCUUGACUUUGGGAUAACUUCAGGAAACUGGGGCUAAUACCGGAUAGGAGCUCCUGCUGCAUGGUGGGGGUUGGAAAGUUUCGGCGGUUGGGGAUGGACUCGCGGCUUAUCAGCUUGUUGGUGGGGUAGUGGCUUACCAAGGCUUUGACGGGUAGCCGGCCUGAGAGGGUGACCGGCCACAUUGGGACUGAGAUACGGCCCAGACUCCUACGGGAGGCAGCAGUGGGGAAUAUUGCACAAUGGGCGGAAGCCUGAUGCAGCAACGCCGCGUGCGGGAUGACGGCCUUCGGGUUGUAAACCGCUUUCGCCUGUGACGAAGCGUGAGUGACGGUAAUGGGUAAAGAAGCACCGGCUAACUACGUG
rnacentral:rRNA from 1 species